ensembl:lncRNA
AUAAGUAUAUAUAUAUUCAUUUAGCUAUUCACGUCGAUAUAUUUUUUUUGCUUACAAUUAUAAAUACUUAUGUAUAUAUCCCGUUUGUCGUAUUUUCAAAUUUGUAAUAUUUAUAUAUAAGUUUCAUAAAUUAUACAAAUUAAAAAUUUUGGAGACUUUAAUUUUUUUUAAUAAAAAAAAAAAACUUUUUUUUUUGUAUUUUAUAUAUAUAUAUAUAUAUAUAUACAUAUAUAUAUAUAUAUAUAUAUAUGUAUAUUUUGUUCAAAUAAAUUUCAAUACCAAUGUUUACUGUACGGACGAGGUCUAACACAACUAAGAAAACUGUGAAGUUGGAUGACACAAAUAAAUUAAUUGAAAAUGAGAAUAAAAAUAUAAGUGAGAGUAUAAGUGAAGGUAUAAGUGAUAAUAUAAGUGAUAGUUUAAGUGAAAAUGAAAUCCCAAGUGAUAACACACGAGAAAAUACAAAUGCAAAGACAAAUGAAAACAUACAUGCAAACACCAAUGGGAAAACCGUUUAUAAUACGCAUUUGUCAAAUAAUAUAAAAGGUUACACAUAUUGUGAAGAUGUUAAAACAGAUAUGUACCCAUUGAAUCAAAUAACAACAUGCAAUUCAAAGGGUGCUGUAACUGUAGAUUAUAAUAUGUAUGAUGAUAAAAAUAAUGAUAAGUACAUAUCUGGUAUAAUAAUAAAUAACAACGAUGGUAAUGCAAAAGGUAAUAACAACAGCAAUACCGAGAGUAUCAAAAAUUGCGACCAUACCAAUAGCAAUAACAAUUAUAAUAAUAGCAAUAAUAAAAAUGGAAGUAUAAAAUAUCAGAAUAGUGAAAGUUCUGAUAAAAAUAAUGAUGAUAUAUGUCAGAAGAAUAAAAGUGUAGAAACAGAGGUUUUUUCAUUAUCAUCUAAUGUUGAAUAUAAUAAUGUACAUAUAACAGCAGGUAAAAGAGUUGAUAAUUUAGUUUAUGCUAAUAACAAUUACGACAGUAAGGAAAAUUACAACAAUAGUAAUAAUAGUUCUUCAGUGUAUGGUACUACUACUAAUACUACUACUGCUGCUAUUACUACUGCUGCUACUACUACUGCUGCUACUACUACUGCUACUACUAUAAAUAGUAAUACCCCAGUGACUCCUAACGUAUGCGAAAAUACAAAGAUGCUCGAAAAAAAUAACGACAAAUCGUUUGGUAAGAAUAUUAAUAUAAAACUUAAUAACAAUGGUGAUGAUGUUAAAAAAGAGAUAAAUAAUGUGUAUAUGGAUGUGUACGGAAAUAUUAAAAAGAAAGAGUGUGAUGAUAAAUAUAGUAAGAAAAACAGUGUGUCGAGCUGUAGUAGUGAUAAUAUAUAUAGAUAUAAUAGUGAAGAUAUAAAAAAUGAGUUAGAUGCUGAUUGCAUGUUAACUUCUAAAAUAAAAAAAAAUGUUAAAGGUUACUAUGAUAAAAAAGAUGAAUUACAAAAUAGUUAUACUGAAGAAGUAGAAGGUAAAACUGAUAAAAACAAAUUACUAAACGAUUUGACAACUGCAGUUUUGAAUAUUAACAAUAAUAGCACAUGUGGUAAUAAAAAAGGUAGUAUAAAUAUGUGUACUACUAAAAUAAAUAAUAAUAAUAAUAAUACUACUACUACUAGUAGUUGUAGUAGUAAUAAUAGUGUUGUUAAUGGUUGUGAUAAUAGUAAAAGUCGUGAUGAACAUAAUAAUUUUGACACUUAUAAAUUGCUUAUAGAUAAUACUAUAAGUAUGAAAGAAGAAUUAAAUAGAGUGGAAUAUAUUAAAAAAACAAAAGGCAUAUGUUUAACAUAUUUAAGAUUAAUAAAGAGGUUAACAACUACUUGGAGUGAAUAUAAUAAAACAUUUGAAUAUCACUUUGUUAAUAUAUCGAAUACUACUGAAUCGAAUACGCUAGAUAUAUAUUUAUGUUGUUUUUCUAAUUUAAAACUGUGUUCAACUAAAAAAGUGUUUAUAGAAUCAUUGAAAGAAUGUAUAGAAGAAUUAGAAAUUAUAAAAAAUAGUAGUAAUAUAAGGAAUGUUACAAAGACAGAUAAAUGUGUAUCAAGUAGUAGUGUAUCAACACAUGUUGAUAAUAAUUUAUUAGAUAAAAAAGAGUUAUAUAAAAAUGUAUUUGAAGAAGUGGAAGUUAAACUAUCAAAAGAUAUUAUUGAUGAUUUAUAUGAAAUAGCUCUAAAAAAUCCAUAUUUUCGAGAAUCCUAUUCUUUGAAUAGUCAUGAUGGAAAUAAUGGUGAUAAUACAGAACAGGAAGAAAAUUUAUUAACACAAUAUAAAAGUAAUUAUAAACAAAUUGCAUCUAAUUUUUAUAAAUCAAAUGAAUAUGCAAAAUUAAAACCAGAAGAGAAAAGUUUGAAACAUUAUGGCAAUAAUAACUGCAAAAAUAAUAUUAACAGUUGUAUGUUUGUAAAUAGUAAUUGCUUGGGUGUAGAAAAUGGAAAUAAUUAUUGUAUGAACACUAGUAAUCUGUUAAAAAACUGUUCUAAAUGUUGUGCAUAUGAAUGUUUGGAGAACAGUAGUAAUAGUACUAUUGGAACGAAUGGUGGGAUAUGUCACAAUAAAUUAAACAACAGUAAUGGAAAUAACGACGCAGAUCAUGCUCUUUGUAAUUUAACUAAAAAUAAAAACACUAGUAUAAAUGAAACUAUAUUAAACAAAUUAAAUGUUAGCAUCGAUUAUAAUUCCUAUAACGAUUAUCCAAAUGAUAAAUAUUAUGAAGAAGUUAAACAAGCAGUAGAAAAGUAUAGGAAUGCUAGUAGACGAAAUUUUAUAGCUAAUGACUAUAUUUAUAACAAUAAUAAUUUAUGUAAUUAUAAUAACAUUACUGAUACGGUUAAUGGUCCUUCUACUCGUUCAGAUACUAUUGCUAAUGAUAAUCCUACAUACAAUAAUAAUAGUGCUUAUAAUAAUAGUGCUUAUAAUAAUAGUGCUUAUAAUAAUAGUGCCUAUAAUAAUAGUGCUUAUAAUAAUAGUGCUUAUAAUAAUAGUGCAUGUAAUAACAAUGCUUAUAAUAACAAUGCUUAUAAUAAUAAUAAUAAUUAUCUUGAUACCUAUUUGCAAUUUAAACUACUUAUGUCAGAAUAUGGUAACAUGUAUAAACAAAACAAAAUGUUAAAAAAUGAAUCCGACAUAAAUUCGAUUGAUUUGAGCUUAUUGAAGUAUUUGUACUCGCAUUUUAAUGCCUCUGGUGGAUUUAAGGAUAAAGAAUUAAACAAUAACGACUUCUGUUUUAACAACGAGAAUGACAAUAAAUACUACAAAAACUACGGAGAUGCGAACAUAAAAUCAAAUGACGAGGAUAAUGACGAUGUUAGUAAUUUUAUAAAAGAGUAUAAAUUACAAAGUGAAGAUAACCACACCAAUAAUAAAAAUAAUAACAUUCUUGAUAAUAGUAAUAAUGAUGACUCUUAUGAUUAUUAUAAAAAAAGUUACAAUUCAGUGAAAGAAAGCAAAAGUGGUAAUAAUAAUAAUAAUAAUAAUACUAAUAAUAGGAGUAGUAGUAAUAUAAAUUACAAAGGUAAUAACUAUCAGUAUGUACUUAGAAAAAGAAAAGUUAAUGAUCGUGAAGCAGAAGAAGAAGAAGAAGAUGAUGAUGAUGAAGAAGAAGAAGAAGAACAACAAAAGAUAACAAAAAAUAGUAAUAGUUGUAAUAAUAAUAAUAAUAUUAGUAAUAGUAAACACGGUACCAGUAACAAAGGUGUUAAUUCAAACAUGUAUAACGAUUUAAAUUAUUUUAUUAAUAAUCCAAACGCUUUAAAAAAAAUGAAAUUAAAUACAUUAGAAAAUAAAAGAGUAUAUACAAAUAAUAACAAUGGUAAUACUCUUAACUAUCAUAAUGGUAGUAGUAAUAAUAAUGACGACUGUUAUUUUAAUAAUGAUUAUAGGGACGUACUUUAUAAUAACACAUCUUAUAACAAUACAUAUUAUAACAGUACAUAUUAUAAUAAUAAUAAUAAUAAUAAUAAUGUUAAUGGUAACAUUAGUAGUAGUGAAGUGAUUAAAAACAAAAAUAUGAACAUAUCAUCUUCAUUAUUAGAUGAUAGUCAAAGAAGUUAUAAUAUGCGAGGAAAUUAUAACUAUAAUUAUGACUACAGCAAUAAUGAUUGUAGUAACAAAUAUGAUUAUUAUAAUAUGAAAAAUUACAAAGGAUUAAAUAAUAAUUUAAUACAUAAAAAUUAUUAUAAAAAAGGAAAUGACAAGACAAUCCCAUUGUUACCACUAUCAACAUCAUUACAAUCUCCAUAUCAUCUUAAAAAUGGUGCAGAGUACAUAACUUCUGAUUCUUUACAAGAUUUUAUUUUAAAUACAAAUAACACAAAAUUUGGAAGGCCAGAAAAUGGAUUGAAAUAUAAUAACAGUAAUAUACUAAACCAUGUACAAAUGAAAGAUGUUGUUGGAAGUAGUAGUAGUAGUAAUAAUAAUAAAAAUAAUAAUAAAAAUAAUAAUAAUAAUAAUAAUAAUAAUAAUACUAUGUAUAACCAUAAAAAUGCCUUAAGUGUAGAUUUUAACUAUAAAAAUAGAAAUGAUGUAAAUAAAAAAAAAAAUGGUAACUAUGAUGAUUAUAUAUAUGAUUAUAAUAGAAAAUUAAGUAUGAACGAAUCGAAAGGGGGUUUUAAUAAUAGUAAAGAUAAUAAUUUAUUAAUAAAAAAAAUGAAAUCAGAUGGUGUUGUUGUUGUUGGCGGUAGUAGUAACAGAAGCAUAAGUAGCAAUAGUAAUAACUUAAAUACAUAUAAACAUAAAAAAAGUAACGAAAACAGUCACAAAAAUGUAACUAAUGUUAAUAGUAAUGUUGUUAGUAAUAGCAAUAAUAAUAUUAAAGGUGUGAAGAAUGUUAAAAAUAUAAAUGGUGUGACUACUGUAGAUACAUUUACGUAUGGUUUAAACGGUAAAUUAAAAUAUGAUAUGCCUGUAGGUGUCAAUCCAAAUGAUGAUAAAGUGAAAGGAGUUUAUUUCUCUAAGUCACCUAGAGGUGUAGGAAAAUGGAAUGCUUAUUUUCAAAUAGCUAACAACAAAAGAUUGUUUACUAGUUUUAGUGUAAGCAAAUAUGGUUAUAAUGAAGCAAGAAAAUUAUCUAUUAUGAAACGAACAGAAUGGGAAAAAGAAUAUAAAUAUCAAACUGAUUUAAAAAAUGUGGAAAAAAAAAAAGGAAAAAAAACUAAAAGCAAUAGCAUAACUGAAAAUACUAAUGUUACUACUACUAGAAAUAUCCAAGCGCUUAAUAAUAGCAAAAGGACCAUUUCAAAAACUGGUGCUAAUAAUUCUAACAGUAGUGAUGAAUGUUCAAGUUAUACUAAAGAAAAUACAACAAAAGGCGAAGAAGAAGGAGAAGAAGAUGGGGAAGAGGAAGAAGAAGAAGAGGAAGGUGAAGAAGAAGAAGAAGAAGAAGAACGAGGGGAAGAAGAAGAAGAAGAAGAAGAAGAAAGUAGAGGAAGAGAAGAAAAAAAAGAAAGAGAACGUACAGUUUUUUCAAACGAUGGAGUAGAUGAUUCAUAUUCAGGAAAUGAAAAUAUUCUGAUUAAUACACCUGAACAUAAUGUCAUGUUGCAAAAUAGUGGGAGAAGAAGUAAUAGAACAAACAUAAACAAUAAUAAUGACAACAAUUAUAAACAUAACGAAUUGAAUAAAGAUGGAAAUAAUCAUAACAAUGGUAGUAGUAGUAUUGGUAUGUCUUAUCCUGUAGACAUAACAACUAAAGAUAGCAAAAAAAAGUUGAAUAAUGCUUAUAUGUUAAAAAAUAAUAAUGUGAAUAAUGACAAAAAAAAUAGCAUGAAAAAAAAAGUUCCUUCAUUUUCUAAAAACACAUUAGGUAAUUCGGGUUAUGACGAUGAUGAUUAUGGAGACGAAUCUGGCGACGGAAAUGAUAACAACAAUGGCAAUAAUGAUCAAAAUAACAAACUAGAAGAAUCAUUAGAUUCGUCAAAAAGAAUACCGAAUUCAUUAGGAUUAUCAAAAAAGUAUAUUCGAAAUUUGCACUUUCCCGCGAUCGAUUCUUACAAAGUUAGUAAUUUCUUAGAUGCCCUUACA